AUCCCUGUAACGUAAUAGAUAGCGCGUUGGACUUCUAAUCCAAAGGUAGUGGGUUCGAAUCCUACCUGGGACA